UGCAUAUAAUUACCAGCCACUGGCGCUGGGUAGGCAAAGCCGGGAGAAACUGCUGAGACGAGCCUUUUCCUUCAGUGCCUCUUCCUCCAGGAAGCCCUCCCAGAUGCCCCAGCAGGUCUUCUCUUGCUGCCUCCAGGGGUCUCAUCUGAUGAUCAGAGCCUCAUCACCUGCCUCGCACACAGGCCUGUGAGCCCCAUGAGGACAAGAACCACCUGCCUGGCCCAGGCGCCUCAGGAAGUGAGACAUCCAGAUCCCGGAUGUGGGGCCCUGGGAGCCAGAAGGAGAUGAGGAAACUGAGGCACAGAGUGGUUAAGCAACAUGGCGGAGGCUGAAUCCACCCAGUCCCCUGCCUCCCAAGGCCGGGGCCAGCAGCCCCUGCCUCUGAGAUGGAUAAAAGGGAGAUACAGGGAAGGGAGAUGUUUCUGGAGCAGCUCCCGUGAGACCUUCCAGGCAGAUAAAUUGGCACAGAGUCUCGAGGACGUUUUGUGUGUGGUGUGCAAAGGAGCUCCCCUUUGGUGUUUCUGAGAGAUCAGGAAGAUUUAAACUGCUUUCCACUGAUGUUGGGAUGUCAGAAUGGUGUUUCUUUUGAACGUGACAUGGCGAGGAGGCUGGGCCCCAAGGCAGCCCAGUUUUAUUCGGGUUACAGAAAUAAUAAUAGCAAAGGCAGCAACGGAAGCAGUUCUCAGGGACUGAGCAUUUACCAUGCGCUCGGUGCUGGGCUCCGCCUUGACUAGGAUGCGUGCUCUGAGCCCUCACCACCAGCCUGGAUGGGGAUUAUUCUCAUCCCCACUUUAUUUCCCUUCAGCUGGCAUCCGAAUCUGUUAGCCUCCACAUUUGCUGUCUCCCUUGUUGGUCGGUGAGCUUGGUGAAGGCGCCAGUCUGGUCUCCCCCAUUCAUUGCUGAGUCCCUGGCACCCAGCACGAGCUCCGCGAGGAGCAGCUGGACAAUAAAGCUUUGCUGGACACAUUUCAGAUGAAGAGACUGAGGGUCAGAGAGGUCACGCAGCUUGCCAGGGGGGAACCCCAGGUCGCCAUGGCCCUAGAGCCUGCCUGGAUCCUAAUCACCACCUCACAUAGCUGCUUAAGAGACCGUCUCUGAGACCCCUCUCAAGAAAACCACAGAAAUGAAUCCCAACCACCCACCACCCACUAUUCUCAGACCUUGUAACCACACCCAGGAGGCUUCUGAACUGAUUCUGCCCCUUCCCACUUGAUGCCUGGCAGGUGGGGAGGAAGAGGUCACGCGUUCUUUUCUAAAAAAUCUUAUUUCCACAAACCAUAUAUGAUUCUUAUUGCUAUCUUACAUACUUUAGGAAAUGUUGGUUUAAAAAAAAAAAUCUGAACCCUGAACAGUGCCUGAGCCCUUGCCGGGUGCCCAGUGUGGCAUUUGGCCCUUGGAACUUGGAUCUUGAGACCCCACUGGUAGGCAGGUCCUGUGCUAACCUCCUCGCCUGCUUGGGUUGUCCUCACAGCAACCCCAAGGGGCAAGUGACUGGGAUCACUGUUUCCCAGGGGAGGAAACCGAGGCACAGAAGGGCAGCGAUUUGCUCAGGGUUCCACAGCAGCGAAGUGCCGCGCCUGGCUCCAGACCGGGGCGCUCUGCUCUGCUUCGAGCAGGCGCCCAGCUCAGCGUGGGAGACACAGCAUCAGGACGGAGUCCUGGCCGCAGGGCGCUGGGUGAGCUCUCAGGGCACAAAGACGAAGCAGAGGGGUCCCGCCCUGGAGGAGCAACGUCUCCUGGGAGAGGAAGACACGCCAACACACCACUGAAAACUCAUGGCGGAGCAGGGGCACCCAAAGCCUUGUAAUUGAUUUAUCGCGUAAAGAAAGGCUGGAAAGAGCCCCCGCAGGACCUUGCUUUACAAAAGUCCCCAGGUUUUGCAUCCACAUCAGAGUUCUAGGCUCUUUGUUGUGGCUGAUGGAUGGACGGCACGUUUUUUAGUCCUCAAAAUGGACUCCUUUGGGUUGUAUUUGAAGCCCCGU